rnacentral:misc_RNA from 1 species
UGGCUCUCGCGUCGAUGAAGAACGCAGCGAAACGCGAAAUGUAAUGUGAAUUGCAGAAUUCUGUGAAUCAUCGAAUCUUUGAACGCACCUUGCGCUCUUGGGUCAUUCCUGAGAGCAUGCUUGUUUGAGUGUCGCAAACUUCUCAACCCCGCUUAUUUAAAAACAAGCAGUUUGGGUUUGGAUCAUGGCUGUUGUCGAGUUGAAACACACUUGACUCAGCUGAAAUGAAACAAGCUACAUCAAGGUACUUUGCGGCUUGAGCUAUCGUUAUAGAACUUUCAGAUUCGAUAGUGACGCAAAAGAAGUUUGAACAAGCUUUAUAAUCAAAACAACACUGUUGAAAGUUCAUCACAGUGCAUUCAGACCUCAAAUCAAGUAGGACUACCCGCUGA